rnacentral:lncRNA from 1 species
UUUUCUUUAAAUAUUUAUAGUAAUUUCAUUUUUUAUCCAAAAAAUCCCAAAAUAAUUUCUAAAAUUCUCUUUUAUUUUUCUUCAUCUGAUUUUUAUUUUUUCACAUUUUAUUUCACUGAUUUUUUAUUUUUCAUGAAUUUUCUCUUAUCUCCUUUGUUUUAAUUGGUUUAAAAAUAUUUUUCUGUAUUUUAAAAUUCUGAAAAUUUUAUUAUAUGUUUCUCAUUUUAUUUUCAACCUUCCAUAAUUU